UACAGAGGUCCCAAGCGUUGUUCGGAUUCACUGGGCGUAAAGGGUGCGCAGGUGGGUUUGCAAGUUCGAUGUGAAAGCCCCGGGCUUAACCCGGGAAUGGCAUUGGAUACUGCAGAUCUGGAGGAUCGGAGGGGGGACUGGAAUUCUUGGUGUAGCAGUGAAAUGGCGCAGAUAUCAGGAGGAACACCGGUGGCGAAGGCGGUUCUCUGGGCAUUACCUGACGCUGAGGAGCGAAAGUGUGGGGAGCGAACAGG
rnacentral:rRNA from 1 species